GACGAACGCUGGCGGCGCGCCUAACACAUGCAAGUCGAACGGAGCGCACCGACGGAAGCCUUCGGGUGGAAGAUGGUGUUGCUUAGUGGCGAACGGGUGAGUAACACGUGAGCAACCUGCCCUAAAGUGGGGGACAACAUCUGGAAACGGAUGCUAAUACCGCAUAAGACCGCAGUACCGCAUGGUACAGUGGCCAAAGGAUUUAUUCGCUUUAGGAUGGGCUCGCGCCUGAUUAGAUAGUUGGUGGGGUAAUGGCCCACCAAGUCAACGAUCAGUAGCCGGACUGAGAGGUCGAUCGGCCACAUUGGGACUGAGAUACGGCCCAGACUCCUACGGGAGGCAGCAGUGGGGAAUAUUGGGCAAUGGGCGAAAGCCUGACCCAGCGACGCCGCGUGAGGGAAGAAGGUUUUAGGAUUGUAAACCUCUGUCUUCGGGGAAGAAACAAAUGACGGUACCCGAGGAGGAAGCCACGGCUAACUACGUGCCAGCCGCCGCCGUAACAC
rnacentral:rRNA from 1 species